rnacentral:rRNA from 1 species
UUGAAAGGGAAACGAUUGAAGUUAGUGGAACUGGUACAAAAUCAGCUUACGCAUCAAGGCAAUUAGCGCAUUGGCGAGCCUAAAAACCGCCAUAGUCGACAUUCAAUUACUUGUGUGGGGUGGAUUGUUGUAUCAGCUGGUUAACAUCAAUUUUGACUGUCAUAAAAAGGCUAUAGGUGAUGUGGCUCCUUCGUCGAGCGUGAUAACCUUCGGCAGAAUGUGGUGGUCGGGAUUGAGGAUUGCAACGAAUACCUUUAGGGCUGCUCAACUGGUCUGGCCAUUCCCUCUUUAGUAUGAUUCGUUCCGACUAACUGGGGAGUGGUUAGUCAGGCGGUGCAAAUUCGUUAAGGAUGUUGACGUA